rnacentral:tRNA from 1 species
GACUUUAUGGCUAGUGGUUAGCGAGUGUGCCUACCAAGUAAAAGGAUUAUGGUUCGAACCCACUUUCAGUCA